CUCUUUCCAUACAUGAGGCACUUUCGAAGUUCUGUUGGGGUUGAAAGAAUAAAGCUAGUUUAAAGGGGGCUCCCAUUGGCCAAGAUAUAACAAUUUAAACAUCAAAAUAGAAAAUUAAAAUUGUACUUAAUUAAAGCAAGUAGUCUCUGGAAAAAUUUGUCUCCCUAAUUUCUUUUAAAAGAAAAUAUGUGGGGUGCCUCAGUCAGUUAAGCAUCCAACUUCAGCUCAGGUCAUGA